rnacentral:tRNA from 1 species
GGCGAUGUAGCUCAGUUGGUUAGAGCAGUGGAAUCAUAAUCCAUUGGUCCGGGGUUCGAAUCCCUGCAUCGCUACCA